UACGGAGGGAGCUAGCGUUGUUCGGAAUUACUGGGCGUAAAGCGUACGUAGGCGGUUAUUCAAGUCAGAGGUGAAAGCCCGGGGCUCAACCCCGGAACUGCCUUUGAAACUAGAUAGCUAGAGUCUUGGAGAGGUUAGUGGAAAUUCCGAGUGUAGAGGUGAAAAUUCGUAGAUAUUCGGAAGAACACCAGUGGCGAAAGGGCGACUAACUGGACAAGUACUG
rnacentral:rRNA from 1 species